rnacentral:rRNA from 1 species
AGAGUUUGAUCCUGGCUCAGAACGAACGCUGGCGGCGUGCCUAACACAUGCAAGUCGAACGAGAAAGCUCCUUCGGGAGUGAGUAGAGUGGCGCACGGGUGAGUAACACGUGGAUAAUCUGCCUGAUAAUCAGGGAUAACAUUUCGAAAGAGAUGCUAAUACCGGAUAAGCCCACAGCCUCUUCGGAGGCAGCGGGAAAAGAUGGCCUCUUCUUGAAAGCUGUUGUUAUCAGAUGAGUCCGCGGUCCAUUAGCUAGUUGGUAGGGUAAUGGCCUACCAAGGCAACGAUGGAUAGCUGGUUUGAGAGAAUGAUCAGCCACACUGGAACUGAGACACGGUCCAGACUCCUACGGGAGGCAGCAGUGGGGAAUUUUGCGCAAUGGGGGAAACCCUGACGCAGCAACGCCGCGUGAGUGAUGAAGGUUUUCGGAUCGUAAAGCUCUGUCAAGAGGGAAGAAACCUCCAAUGGUUAAUAACUGUUGGAAUUGACGGUACCUCUAGAGGAAGCACCGGCUAACUCCGUGCCAGCAGCCGCGGUAAUACGGAGGGUGCAAGCGUUGUUCGGAAUUAUUGGGCGUAAAGCGCGUGUAGGCGGUUAGUU